rnacentral:tRNA from 1 species
GAGGCUAUAGCUCAGUGGUAGAGCACAUGCUUAGCAUGCACGAGGUCCCAGGUUCAAUCCCCAGUACCUCCU